rnacentral:rRNA from 1 species
UACGGAGGAUCCAAGCGUUAUCCGGAAUCAUUGGGUUUAAAGGGUCCGUAGGCGGACUAAUAAGUCAGUGGUGAAAGUCUGCAGCUCAACUGUAGAAUUGCCAUUGAUACUGUUAGUCUUGAGUCAUUAUGAAGUGGUUAGAAUGAGUGGUGUAGCGGUGAAAUGCAUAGAUAUCACUCAGAAUACCGAUUGCGAAGGCA